rnacentral:rRNA from 1 species
UUUACACAUGCAAGUCGAACGGUAACAGGGUGCUUGCACCGCUGACGAGUGGCGAACGGGUGAGUAAUGCGUCGGAACGUGCCGAGUAGUGGGGGAUAACGCAGCGAAAGUUGUGCUAAUACCGCAUACGUACUGAGGUAGAAAGUGGGGGACCUUCGGGCCUCACGCUAUUCGAGCGGCCGACGUCUGAUUAGCUAGUAGGUGAGGUAAAGGCUCACCUAGGCGACGAUCAGUAGCGGGUCUGAGAGGAUGAUCCGCCACACUGGGACUGAGACACGGCCCAGACUCCUACGGGAGGCAGCAGUGGGGAAUUUUGGACAAUGGGCGAAAGCCUGAUCCAGCCAUGCCGCGUGUCUGAAGAAGGCCUUCGGGUUGUAAAGGACUUUUGUCAGGGAGGAAAUCCCUAGUGCUAAUAACNCUGGGGGAUGACAGUACCUGAAGAAUAAGCACCGGCUAACUACGUGCCAGCAGCCG